rnacentral:rRNA from 1 species
GAUGAACGCUGGCGGCGUGCCUAAUACAUGCAAGUCGAGCGAACGGACGAGAAGCUUGCUUCUCUGAUGUUAGCGGCGGACGGGUGAGUAACACGUGGAUAACCUACCUAUAAGACUGGGAUAACUUCGGGAAACCGGAGCUAAUACCGGAUGAUAUUUUGAACCGCAUGGUUCAAAAGUGAAAGACGGUCUUGCUGUCACUUAUAGAUGGAUCCGCGCUGCAUUAGCUAGUUGGUAAGGUAAUGGCUUACCAAGGCAACGAUGCAUAGCCGACCUGAGAGGGUGAUCGGCCACACUGGAACUGAGACACGGUCCAGACUCCUACGGGAGGCAGCAGUAGGGAAUCUUCCGCAAUGGGCGAAAGCCUGACGGAGCAACGCCGCGUGAGUGAUGAAGGUCUUCGGAUCGUAAAACUCUGUUAUUAGGGAAGAACAUAUGUGUGAGUAACUGUGCACAUCUUGACGGUACCUAAUCAGAAAGCCACGGCUAACUACGUG